rnacentral:rRNA from 3 species
CGUAGGUGACCUGCGGAGGAUCAUUG